rnacentral:rRNA from 1 species
UUCUUUAUUUUAAAAAUUUUAUUAUUUAAGUAGUAAGAGUUAUUAAUAAAAAUUUUAUUUAAUACAAUUUUAUACUUGAAACUUAAAAGGCUUGGCGGUGUCAUAUAUCCUUCCAGGGGAGCUUGCUUAUUAAUUUGAUAUUCCUCAAUUUAUACUUACUUUCCUUUGAAUUAUUUAAUAUGAAAAUCAGUUUGUGUAUUGCUGUCGUCAGUUUAUUUUGUAAAAAUUUUAUAAAAAACUUUAUAAUGAUAAGAUUGUGAUGUCAAGUCAAAAUGCAGCUUAUGGGAAAGGUUUAUAAAGUGAGCUACAGUUUGUUAUAUUUAAUCUAAUUAGGUCAUGUAAUUGGCUUAUGAAGUUGGACUUGGUAGUAAUAAAAUUGUAAAUAGUGUGUUUUUAUGAAUUGGGUUUUGUGAUGCG